GCCUCAUUGGCUCAGUUGGUAGGGCACAUGACUCUUGAUCUUGGGGUCAUGAGUUCAAGCCUCACAGUGGGCA
rnacentral:tRNA from 1 species